rnacentral:rRNA from 1 species
UUCAUGGAGAGUUUGAUCCUGGCUCAGGACGAACGCUGGCGGCGUGCCUAAUACAUGCAAGUCGAGCGGACC